GCAUCUUUAGCUAAAUAGGUUAAAGCACCUAACUUCGGAUUAGGGGAUUGAGGGUUCGAGUCCUCCAAGAUGCU
rnacentral:tRNA from 1 species